CGAGCGGCGGGCAGGGGCUUCGCGGCGCCCGGGCUGAGCCCUCCUGGCCCGCGGCGCCUGUGCCGGCCGCGCCCCGCCGGCGGCCCGGGAACGGGCUUUGUCCGCGCUGGCGAGUUGAAAUGAGUGCUGUCUAGUGCCCUCUGCUCCCCAUCGUUGAAGAACAGAGUCUGCUGCACUGAACCUGCUCAGGGUGGAGAUGGUGGAAAGGCUAAAGUUCAAGUUCACAGACCCAAAAGAGAAAGGCAAGACGAUGACGACGAUGCAUCCUCUGCUAAUGGAGCCUGCUGAGACAGUGAUUUUGGCUGCAAGGGAGACUUUACAGGUAUGA
rnacentral:lncRNA from 1 species